GAUGAACGCUGGCGGCGUGCCUAAUACAUGCAAGUCGAGCGAACAGACGAGGAGCUUGCUCCUCUGACGUUAGCGGCGGACGGGUGAGUAACACGUGGAUAACCUACCUAUAAGACUGGGAUAACUUCGGGAAACCGGAGCUAAUACCGGAUAAUAUAUUGAACCGCAUGGUUCAAUAGUGAAAGACGGUUUUGCUGUCACUUAUAGAUGGAUCCGCGCCGCAUUAGCUAGUUGGUAAGGUAACGGCUUACCAAGGCGACGAUGCGUAGCCGACCUGAGAGGGUGAUCGGCCACACUGGAACUGAGACACGGUCCAGACUCCUACGGGAGGCAGCAGUAGGGAAUCUUCCGCAAUGGGCGAAAGCUUGACGGAGCAACGCCGCGUGAGUGAUGAAGGUCUUCGGAUCGUAAAACUCUGUUAUUGGGGAAGAACAAAUGUGUAAGUAACUAUGCACGUCUUGACGGUACCUAAUCAGAAAGCCACGGCUAACUACGUG
rnacentral:rRNA from 1 species